rnacentral:lncRNA from 1 species
CUAGAAUCUUGGAUGCUAAUUCUGUGUCUGCCACCAACUGAUCCUCAGUUUCCCCAUGGAAUGAGGACAGUAAUGGUUGUAGUAACUGACUCAGAAGACUCUUAAGGAAGUUGUUUAUAAGUCUUAAAGCAUUUGUAAAAAAGAAACUGAGGCUUGCCAGAUGUCACACAACUAUUCAGUAGCAGAGUUGGAAUUUGAACCCAGAGCUCCUAACCCAGACUCUACUGAUUUUAUAAAUGAGGAAACUGAGGCCAAUGGGAUGAAAUGAUAUAUGCAGGAUCACUCAGCUAGUAAGUGUCUAAGGCUGGAUUUGAACUCAAGAAGAGGAAUCUUCCUGACUCCAGACCAGGUACUCUAUCCACUGAACCACCAAAAAUAGACUAUAUAAAGGUAUAUUAUAUAUUCUAUCUAUCUAUCUUAUUAGUAUAUAUUUACAUAUAUUGUAUAAAAUAUAGUUGAUUUAUUUUAUAUUAUAAAUAUAUAUACUCUAAUAGGCAUUCAAGGGGAUUGGGAAAGGCUUCUUAUAGAAGGAGGAAUUUUAGCUGGGAUUUCAAGGAAGCCAGGAGGUGGAGAUGAGGAAGGUGAAAAUGCCCAAACCCUGGAGCGGAUGGGAAACUACCGGAGUUUAUUGAGCAAGGGGCUGACAUGAUUAUGUUUGACCUUUUGGAAGAUAGCUUUGACAGCUGAGUAGAGAAUGGACUGGAGCAGGGAGAGGUUUAAAGCAGGCAGACCCUCUUCCAGCAGGCUACUGCAAUAAUCAAGUCACAAGAUGAUUAGGACUGUAUCCGGGUGAUG